GACGAACGCUGGCGGCGUGCUUAACACAUGCAAGUCGAACGGAAAGGCCCUGCUUUUGUGGGGUGCUCGAGUGGCGAACGGGUGAGUAACACGUGAGUAACCUGCCCUUGACUUUGGGAUAACUUCAGGAAACUGGUGCUAAUACCGGCUAGGAGCUCCUGCUGCAUGGUGGGGGUUGGAAAGUUUCGGCGGGUGGGGAUGGACGCGCGGCUUAUCAGCUUGUGGGUGGGGUAGUGGCUUACCAAGGCUUUGACGGAUAGCCGGCCUGAGAGGGUGACCGGCCACAUUGCGACUGAGAUACGCACCAGACUGCUACGGGAGGCAGCAGUGGGGAAUAUUGCACAAUGGGCGGAAGCCUGAUGCAGCAACGCCGCGUGCGGGAUCACGGCCUUCGGGUUGUAAACCGCUUUCGCCUGUGACGAAGCGUGAGUGACGGUAAUGGAUAAAGAAGCACCGGCUAACUACGUG
rnacentral:rRNA from 1 species